AUUCCGCCUGGGGAGUACGGUCGCAAGAUUAAAACUCAAAGGAAUUGACGGGGGCCCGCACAAGCAGCGGAGCAUGUGGUUUAAUUCGAAGCAACGCGAAGAACCUUACCUAGACUUGACAUCUCCUGAAUUACUCUGUAAUGGAGGAAGCCACUUCGGUGGCAGGAAGACAGGUGGUGCAUGGUUGUCGUCAGCUCGUGUCGUGAGAUGUUGGGUUAAGUCCCGCAACGAGCGCAACCCUUAUUGUUAGUUGCUACCAUUUAGUUGAGCACUCUAGCGAGACUGCCCGGGUUAACCGGGAGGAAGGUGGGGAUGACGUCAAAUCAUCAUGCCCCUUAUGUCUAGGGCUACACACGUGCUACAAUGGUCGGUACAAUGAGAUGCAACCUCGCGAGAGUGAGCAAAACUAUAAAACCGAUCUCAGUUCGGAUUGUAGGCUGAAACUCGCCUACAUGAAGCUGGAGUUGCUAGUAAUCGCGAAUCAGAAUGUCGCGGUGAAUACGUUCCCGGGCCUUGUACACACCGCCCGUCACACCAUGAGAGUUGGCAAUACCCAAAGUUCGUGAGCUAACCGCAAGGAGGCAGCGACCUAAGGUAGGGUCAGCGAUUGGGGUGAAGUCGUAACAAGGUAGCCGUAGGAGAACCUGCGGCUG
rnacentral:rRNA from 1 species